UACGAAGGGGGCUAGCGUUGCUCGGAAUCACUGGGCGUAAAGCGCACGUAGGCGGAUUGCUAAGUCAGGGGUGAAGUACUCGAGCUCAACUCCAGAACUGGCCUUUGAUACUGGCGAUCUCGAGUCCGGGGGAGGUGAGUGGAACUGGCGAGUGUAGAGGUGAAAUUCGUAGAUAUUCGCAAGAACACCAGUGGCGAAGGCGGCUCACUGGCCCGGUACUGACGCUGAGGUGCGAAAGCGUGGGGAGCAACAGG
rnacentral:rRNA from 1 species